UACGGAGGGUGCGAGCGUUGUUCGGAAUCACUGGGCGUAAAGGGCGUGUAGGCGGUCCGCUAAGUCUGAUGUGAAAGCCCGGGGCUCACCCCCGGAAGUGCAUUGGAAACUGACGGACUCGAGUCCCGGAGAGGAGGGUGGAAUUCCUGGUGUAGCGGUGAAAUGCGUAGAUAUCAGGAGGAACACCGGUGGCGAAGGCGGCCCUCUGGACGGUAACUGACGCUGAGACGCGAAAGCGUGGGGAGCAAACAGG
rnacentral:rRNA from 1 species